rnacentral:rRNA from 1 species
UAGGGAAUAUUGGACAAUGGGGGCAACCCUGAUCCUGCCAUGCCGCGUGAGUGAAGAAGGCCCUCGGGUUGUAAAGCUCUUUUGUCCGGAAAGAAAAGCUUCGGGUUAAUACCCCGGGGUUCUGACGGUACCGGAAGAAUAAGCACCGGCUAACUUCGUGCCAGCAGCCGCGGUAAUACGAAGGGUGCAAGCGUUACUCGGAAUUACUGGGCGUAAAGCGUGCGUAGGUGGUUGUUUAAGUCUGAUGUGAAAGCCCUGGGCUCAACCUUGGAAUGGCAUUGGAAACUGGGCAGCUAGAGUGCGGUAGAGGGUAGUGGAAUUCCCGGUGUAGCAGUGAAAUGCGUAGAGAUCGGGAGGAACAUCUGUGGCGAAGGCGACUGCCUGGACCAGCACUGACACUGAGGCACGAAAGCGUGGGGAGCAAACA